CGGACAGAAGGGAGCUUGCUCCCGGAUGUUAGCGGCGGACGGGUGAGUAACACGUGGGUAACCUGCCUGUAAGACUGGGAUAACUCCGGGAAACCGGAGCUAAUACCGGAUAGUUCCUUGAACCGCAUGGUUCAAGGAUGAAAGACGGUUUCGGCUGUCACUUACAGAUGGACCCGCGGCGCAUUAGCUAGUUGGUGGGGUAAUGGCUCACCAAGGCGACGAUGCGUAGCCGACCUGAGAGGGUGAUCGGCCACACUGGGACUGAGACACGGCCCAGACUCCUACGGGAGGCAGCAGUAGGGAAUCUUCCGCAAUGGACGAAAGUCUGACGGAGCAACGCCGCGUGAGUGAUGAAGGUUUUCGGAUCGUAAAGCUCUGUUGUUAGGGAAGAACAAGUGCGAGAGUAACUGCUCGCACCUUGACGGUACCUAACCAGAAAGCCACGGCUAACUACGUGCCAGCAGCCGCGGUAAUACGUAGGUGGCAAGCGUUGUCCGGAAUUAUUGGGCGUAAAGGGCUCGCAGGCGGUUUCUUAAGUCUGAUGUGAAAGCCCCCGGCUCAACCGGGGAGGGUCAUUGGAAACUGGGAAACUUGAGUGCAGAAGAGGAGAGUGGAAUUCCACGUGUAGCGGUGAAAUGCGUAGAGAUGUGGAGGAACACCAGUGGCGAAGGCGACUCUCUGGUCUGUAACUGACGCUGAGGAGCGAAAGCGUGGGGAGCGAACAGGAUUAGAUACCCUGGUAGUCCACGCCGUAAACGAUGAGUGCUAAGUGUUAGGGGG
rnacentral:rRNA from 1 species